rnacentral:rRNA from 1 species
GGUUAAGCGACUAAGCGUACACGGUGGAUGCCCUGGCAGUCAGAGGCGAUGAAGGACGUGCUAAUCUGCGAAAAGCGCCGGCGAGGUGAUAUGAACCCUUGACCCGGCGAUGUCCGAAUGGGGAAACCCAGUGCAAUCCGUUGCACUAUCGUUAACUGAAUACAUAGGUUAACGAGGCGAACCGGGGGAACUGAAACAUCUAAGUACCCCGAGGAAAAGAAAUCAACCGAGAUUCCCCCAGUAGCGGCGAGCGAACGGGGAGCAGCCCAGAGUCUGAAUCAGCUUGUGUGUUAGUGGAAGCGUCUGGAAAGUCGCACGGUACAGGGUGAAAGUCCCGUACACGAAAAUGCACAGGCUGUGAACUCGAAGAGUAGGGCGGGACACGUGGUAUCCUGUCUGAAUAUGGGGGGACCAUCCUCCAAGGCUAAAUACUCCUGACUGACCGAUAGUGAACCAGUACCGUGAGGGAAAGGCGAAAAGAACCCCGGCGAGGGGAGUGAAAAAGAACCUGAAACCGUGUACGUACAAGCAGUGGGAGCACCUUCGUGGUGUGACUGCGUACCUUUUGUAUAAUGGGUCAGCGACUUAUAUUCUGUAGCAAGGUUAACCGUAUAGGGGAGCCGAAGGGAAACCGAGUCUUAACUGGGCGUUAAGUUGCAGGGUAUAGACCCGAAACCCGGUGAUCUAGCCAUGGGCAGGUUGAAGGUUGGGUAACACUAACUGGAGGACCGAACCGACUAAUGUUGAAAAAUUAGCGGAUGACCUGUGGCUGGGGGUGAAAGGCCAAUCAAACCGGGAGAUAGCUGGUUCUCCCCGAAAGCUAUUUAGGUAGCGCCUCGUGAACUCAUCUUCGGGGGUAGAGCACUGUUUCGGCUAGGGGGCCAUCCCGGCUUACCAACCCGAUGCAAACUACGAAUACCGAAGAAUGUUAUCACGGGAGACACACGGCGGGUGCUAACGUCCGUCGUGAAGAGGGAAACAACCCAGACCGCCAGCUAAGGUCCCAAAGUCAUGGUUAAGUGGGAAACGAUGUGGGAAGGCCCAGACAGCCAGGAUGUUGGCUUAGAAGCAGCCAUCAUUUAAAGAAAGCGUAAUAGCUCACUGGUCGAGUCGGCCUGCGCGGAAGAUGUAACGGGGCUAAACCAUGCACCGAAGCUGCGGCAGCGACACUAUGUGUUGUUGGGUAGGGGAGCGUUCUGUAAGCUGUUGAAGGUGGCCUGUGAGGGUUGCUGGAGGUAUCAGAAGUGCGAAUGCUGACAUAAGUAACGAUAAAGCGGGUGAAAAGCCCGCUCGCCGGAAGACCAAGGGUUCCUGUCCAACGUUAAUCGGGGCAGGGUGAGUCGACCCCUAAGGCGAGGCCGAAAGGCGUAGUCGAUGGGAAACAGGUUAAUAUUCCUGUACUUGGUGUUACUGCGAAGGGGGGACGGAGAAGGCUAUGUUAGCCGGGCGACGGUUGUCCCGGUUUAAGCAUGUAGGCGGAGGUUCCAGGUAAAUCCGGUACCUUUUAACGCUGAGGUGUGAUGACGAGGCACUACGGUGCUGAAGUAACAAAUGCCCUGCUUCCAGGAAAAGCCUCUAAGCAUCAGGUAACACGAAAUCGUACCCCAAACCGACACAGGUGGUCAGGUAGAGAAUACCAAGGCGCUUGAGAGAACUCGGGUGAAGGAACUAGGCAAAAUGGUGCCGUAACUUCGGGAGAAGGCACGCUGAUAUGUAGGUGAAGCCCCUGCGGGUGGAGCUGAAAUCAGUCGAAGAUACCAGCUGGCUGCAACUGUUUAUUAAAAACACAGCACUGUGCAAACACGAAAGUGGACGUAUACGGUGUGACGCCUGCCCGGUGCCGGAAGGUUAAUUGAUGGGGUUAGCGGUAACGCGAAGCUCUUGAUCGAAGCCCCGGUAAACGGCGGCCGUAACUAUAACGGUCCUAAGGUAGCGAAAUUCCUUGUCGGGUAAGUUCCGACCUGCACGAAUGGCGUAAUGAUGGCCAGGCUGUCUCCACCCGAGACUCAGUGAAAUUGAACUCGCUGUGAAGAUGCAGUGUACCCGCGGCAAGACGGAAAGACCCCGUGAACCUUUACUAUAGCUUGACACUGAACACUGGUCCUUGAUGUGUAGGAUAGGUGGGAGGCUUUGAAGCGUGGACGCCAGUCUGCGUGGAGCCGUCCUUGAAAUACCACCCUUUAAUGGCUGGUGUUCUAACGUAGACCCGUAAUCCGGGUUGCGGACAGUGUCUGGUAGGUAGUUUGACUGGGGCGGUCUCCUCCCAAAGAGUAACGGAGGAGCACGAAGGUUAGCUAAUCCUGGUCGGACAUCAGGAGGUUAGUGCAAUGGCAUAAGCUAGCUUGACUGCGAGAGUGACGGCUCGAGCAGGUGCGAAAGCAGGUCAUAGUGAUCCGGUGGUUCUGAAUGGAAGGGCCAUCGCUCAACGGAUAAAAGGUACUCCGGGGAUAACAGGCUGAUACCGCCCAAGAGUUCAUAUCGACGGCGGUGUUUGGCACCUCGAUGUCGGCUCAUCACAUCCUGGGGCUGAAGUAGGUCCCAAGGGUAUGGCUGUUCGCCAUUUAAAGUGGUACGCGAGCUGGGUUUAGAACGUCGUGAGACAGUUCGGUCCCUAUCUGCCGUGGGCGCUGGAGAAUUGAGGGGGGCUGCUCCUAGUACGAGAGGACCGGAGUGGACGCAUCACUGGUGUUCGGGUUGUCAUGCCAAUGGCACUGCCCGGUAGCUAAAUGCGGAAGAGAUAAGUGCUGAAAGCAUCUAAGCACGAAACUUGCCCCGAGAUGAGUUCUCCCUGAGACUUAAAGUCUCCUGAAGGAACGUUGAAGACGACGACGUUGAUAGGUCGGGUGUGUAAGCGCAGCGAUGCGUUGAGCUAACCGAUACUAAUGAACCGUGAGGCUUAACCUU